CCUACGGGUGGCAGCAGUGGGGAAUAUUGGGCAAUGGGCGCAAGCCUGACCCAGCAACGCCGCGUGAAGGAAGAAGGCUUUCGGGUUGUAAACUUCUUUUGUCAGGGAAGAGUAGAAGACGGUACCUGACGAAUAAGCCACGGCUAACUACGUUCCAGCAGCCGCGGUAAUACGUAGGUGGCAAGCGUUGUCCGGAUUUACUGGGUGUAAAGGGCGUGUAGCCGGGUUGACAAGUCAGAUGUGAAAUCCUGCGGCUUAACCGCAGAACUGCAUGUGAAAUUGUUGAUCUUGAGUACUGGAGAGGCAGACGGAAUUCCUAGUGUAGCGGUGAAAUGCGGAGAUAUUAGGAGGAACACCAGGGGCGAAGGCGGUCUGCUGGACAGCAACUGACGGUGAGGCGCGAAAGCGUGGGGAGCAAACAGGAUUAGAUACCCGUGUAGUC
rnacentral:rRNA from 1 species